rnacentral:rRNA from 1 species
GAGUGAGCGGCAAAGCUCAAUUUGAAUCUGGCACCUUCGGUGUCCGAGUUGUAAUUUGAAGAUUGUAACCUUGGGGUUGGCUCUUGUCUAUGUUUCUUGGAACAGGACGUCACAGAGGGUGAGAAUCCCGUGCGAUGAGAUGCCCAAUCCUAUGUAAGGUGCUUUCGAAGAGUCGAGUUGUUUGGGAAU